UACGUAGGGUGCGAGCGUUGUCCGGAAUUAUUGGGCGUAAAGAGCUCGUAGGCGGUCUGUCGCGUCUGCUGUGAAAUCCCGAGGCUCAACCUCGGGCUUGCAGUGGGUACUGGCAGGCUAGAGUGCGGUAGGGGAGAAUGGAACACCUGGUGUAGCGGUGGAAUGCGCAGAUAUCAGGAAGAACACCCGUGGCUAAGGCGGCUCUCUAGUACGGUACUGACGCUGAGACGCGAAAGCGUGGGGAGCGAACAGG
rnacentral:rRNA from 1 species